AUGAGUAUACAGAGUCCGGGACCGGGCGGCGGCGGAGCCGGGGGACGGCGACAAAGGCUGGGCGGGCCGCAGGCCGGGGCCACUGGCAAAGACUAUUACCAGACGCUGGACCUGGCCCGAGGCGCCUCGGACGAGGAGGUCAAGCGGGCCUACAGCGGCCAGACGCUGCGCUACCACCCGUACAAGAACAAGGAGCCCGGCGCCGAGGAGAAGUUCAAGGAGAUCGCCGAGGCCUACGACGUGCUCCGAGACCCGCGCACGUGCCAGAUCUUGACCACUACGGGGAGGAAGGCCUAAAGGGCAGCGGCCCCAGUGGCGGUAGCGACGGCGGUGCCAGUGAUACCUCUUUCAGCUACACAUUCCAUGGAGACCCUCAUGCCAUGUUUGCUGAGUUCUUCGGUGGCAGAAAUCCCUUCGAUACCUUUUUUGGGCAGCGGAACGAGGAGGAAGGCGUGGACAUUGCUGACCCAUUCUCUGGGUUCCCUAUGGGCAUGGGUGGCUUCACCGGCAUGAACUUUGGCCGCUCCCGCCCUGUCCAAGAGCCCACCCGAAAGAAGCAAGAUCCCCCAGUCACCCACGACCUUCGAGUCUCCCUUGAAGAGAUCUACAGCGGUUGUCACAAAAAGAUGAAAAUCCCCCACAAGCGGCUAAACCCCGAUGGAAAGAGCACUCAAAACGAAGACAAAAUCUUGACCAUCGAAGUGAAGAAGGGGUGGAAAGAAGGAACCAAAAUCACCUUCCCCAAGGAAGGAGACUAAACCUCCAACAACAUUCCAGCUGAGAUCGUCUUUGUUUUAAAGGACAAACCACACAAUAUCUUUAAGAGAGAUGGCUCUGAUGUGAUUUAUCCUUCCAGGAUCCGCCCCCGGGAGACUCUGUGUGGCUGCACAGUGAACGUCCCCAGUCUGGACGGCAGGACCAUACCCAUCGUAUUCAAAGAUGUCAUCAGGCCUGGCACACUGCGAAAAGUUCCUGGAGAAGGCCUCUGCCUCCCCAAAACGCCGGAGAAACGUGGGGACCUCAUUAUUGAAUUGGAAGAGAUCUUCCCUGAAAGAAUUCCCCAGAUAUCAAGAACCCUACUUGAGCAGAUUCUUCCAAUAUAGCUACCUUAGCUCCCCAAGGACUGACCUGGGACCUUUCCAGAGCUCAACGAUUUCUGGACCUUUCUACCAGUUGUGGACCAUGAGAGGACGCAAGCACCCAGGGAGGGCUUUUGUACUACUGAAUGUUUUCCAGAGCAUAUAUUACAAUCUUUCAAAGUCAUACACUAGACUUAAGUGGUUUUUCAAGCGAUAGGGCAUCAGGUGGUGGGAACAGCAGGAAAAGGCAUUCCAGUCUGCCCCACUGGGUCCGGCAGCCCUCCCGGGAUGGGCCCACAUCCUCCUACUCCAGUCCCUGUUCAGGGGCGAGAGGCAGACCAGCAGCUGGACUUGAUCCUUCUGUGUCCCUUUGCUUCUGGCUGGUAGAUAAUGUCGACCUGCUGUCUUGGUUCCCAGACCCUGU